rnacentral:lncRNA from 1 species
GGGGGGGAGGGGACGCACAGGGACCAAGGGACAACAGGGACACCAGUAUCACCAGUAUCACCAGUAUCACCAGUAUCACCAGUCCCAGUGUCACCAGUAUCACCAGUAUCACCAGUCCCAGUGUCCCCAGUGUCCCCAGUCCCAGUGUCCCAAGUCCCAGUAUCACCAGUGACACCAGUCCCAGUGUCACCAGUAUCACCAGUGUCCCCAAUCCCAGUAUCACCAGUGACACCAGUGUCCCCAGUCCCAGUGUCACCGGUGUCACCAGUGACACCAGUGACACCAGUCCCGGUGUCCCCAGUAUCCCCAGUGUCACCAGUGUCACCAGUGUCCCCAGUCCCAGUGUCCCCAGUCCACCCAGUCCCAGUCCCCCCAGUCCCAGUGUCCCCAGUGUCACCAGUAUCCCCAGUGUCCCCAGUCCCAGUGUCACCAGUGACACCAGUGACACCAGUGACACCAGUAUCACCAGUCCCAGUGUCCCCAGUCCCAGUGUCACCAGUGUCCCCAGUGUCCCCAGUGUCCCCAGUCCCAGUGUCCCCAGUCCCAGUGUCACCAGUGACACCAGUCCCAGUGUCCCCAGUCCCAGUGUCCCCAGUGUCCCCAGUGUCCCCAGUCCCAGUGUCACCAGUAUCACCAGUGUCCCCAGUGUCCCCAGUCCCAGUGUCACCAGUAACACCAGUGACACCAGUCCCAGUCCCCCCAGUCCCAGUGUCCCCAGUGUCCCCCAGUCCCAGUGUCCCCAGUAUCACCAGUCCCAGUGUCCCCAGUCCCAGUGUCCGCAGUCCCAGUAUCACCAGUGUCCCCAGUCCCAGUAUCCCCAGUCCCAGUAUCACCAGUGACACCAGUCCCAGUGUCCCCAGUGUCACCAGUAUCCCCAGUGUCCCCAGUGUCCCCAGUCCCAGUGUCACCAGUGUCCCCAGUCCCAGUAUCCCCAGUUCCAUCCCAGUAUCCCCAGUUCCAUCCCAGUUCCAUCCCAGUUCCCUCCCAGUUCCUUCCCAGUUCCGUCCCAGUUCCAUCCCAGUUCCCUCCCAGUAUCCCCAGUUCCAUCCCAGUUCCAUCCCAGUUCCCUCCCAGUAUCCCCAGUUCCAUCCCAGUUCCCUCCCAGUAUCCCCAGUUCUCUCCCAGUAUCCCCAGUUCCGUCCCAGUUCCAUCCCAGUUCCAUCCCAGUAUCCCCAGUUCCCUCCCAGUUCCCUCCCAGUAUCCCCAGUUCCAUCCCAGUUCCCUCCCAGUUCCCUCCCAGUAUCCCCAGUUCCAUCCCAGUUUCACCAGUUCCAUCCCAGUUCCAUCCCAGUAUGCCCAGUUCCGUCCCAGUUCCAUCCCAGUUCCCUCCCAUUUCCCUCCCAGUAUCCCCAGUUCCCUCCCAGUUCCAUCCCAGUAUCCCCAGUUCCAUCCCAGUUCCCUCCCAGUUCCCUCCCAGUAUCCCCAGUUCCCUCCCAGUUCCAUCCCAGUAUCCCCAGUUCCAUCCCAGUUCCCUCCCAGUAUCCCCAGUUCCCUCCCAGU